rnacentral:ncRNA from 2 species
UAUAGAGUUGGAAGCGAUGAAAAAUUUCCUAUAUAUGGGCACCUGGGAAGUUUAGAGUUAGUGGUGCACCCUGCCAACAAUUAA